rnacentral:rRNA from 1 species
GACAGAGGGUGCAAACGUUUGUUCGGAAUUACUGGGCGUAAAGCGCGUGUAGGCGGCUUCGCAAGUCGGAUGUGAAAUCCCACGGCUCAACCGUGGAAGUGCAUUCGAAACUGCAAGGCUAGAGUUCUGGAGAGGAAGGUGGAAUGCUUGGUGUAGAGGUGAAAUUCGUAGAUAUCAAGCGGAACACCGGUGGCGAAGGCGGCCUUCUGGACAGUAACUGACGCUGAGGCACGAAAGCGUGGGGAGCAAACAGGA